rnacentral:rRNA from 1 species
UACGUAGGGUGCGAGCGUUAAUCGGAUUUACUGGGCGUAAAGCGUGCGCAGGCGGCCCGUUAAGACAGGUGUGAAAUCCCUGGGCUCAACCUAGGAAUUGCGCUUGUGACUGGCGGGCUCGAGUACGGUAGAGGGGGGUGGAAUUCCUGGUGUAGCAGUGAAAUGCGUAGAGAUCAGGAGGAACACCGAUGGCGAAGGCAGCCCCCUGGGCCUGUACUGACGCUCAUGCACGAAAGCGUGGGGAGCAAACAGU